UACAGAGGUCCCGAGCGUUGUUCGGAUUCACUGGGCGUAAAGGGUGCGUAGGUGGUGAGGUAAGUCGGAUGUGAAAUCUCCGGGCUCAACCCGGAAAUGGCAUUGGAAACUACCUUGCUUGAGGAUUUGAGCGGGGAUUGGAAUACUUGGUGUAUCAGUGAAAUGCGUAGAUAUCAAGUGGAACACCAGUGGCGAAGGCGAAUCCCUGGAAAAUACCUGACACUGAGGCACGAAAGCUAGGGGAGCAAACAGG
rnacentral:rRNA from 1 species